ensembl:snRNA Gm25875 predicted gene, 25875
AUGCUUGUUUUGGCAGCACAUUUACUAAAAUUGGAACCACACAGAGAAGAUUAGCAUGGCCCAGAUGCAAGAAUGACAUGGAAAUACUGCAAGUGAUCCAUUAGUCU